GCGUGGUAAACAGCUCGACCUCUGCUGCUGCAGCCCUGUUUCCUACUUUUUCUCUGAUCAUCUUGUUUUUUCUCCUGUGCCUCUAGGAAAUGUUUCUACCGGAGUUUCUGUGGGCUUAAUGUCUCCUGCCCUGUUGAGAUGAAUGUGGAAAUUCAAGCCUCAAAGAACUUUGGCUGUAAGUCUCCUUUCUGCCUCCCUCCUGGACCCAGGCUUCUGGAAACAACUUUUUUAUCAAGCUUCUGAGAACCAUCCAUCUGCCUGUCCACCCACCCAUGGAUCAUCGUUUCCCCAUGGGGCCCGCUGAAUGGAGUAAAGCACAAAGUCAGAACAACGAGGAAGUACUUUUCUCCGCUGCUGCACCCCCCUGUCAACCUCAACCAUCUUGGUAAAGACUUAUUCCUCCCUGACCUGGCUAAGGGCUUCUUUGCUUGAGAUCCCAAUCCUGUCUGCUGACCCAGUCUGGAUUCCAGAACGAACUUACAUUUGUGAAUAAAUAAACUGUUUAAACACUG